UGCAGCAGCCUGAGGCAGGGCU
rnacentral:miRNA from 1 species